rnacentral:rRNA from 1 species
AUUGAACGCUGGCGGCAGGCCUAACACAUGCAAGUCGAACGGUAACAGGGAUCAGCUUGCUGAUUCGCUGACGAGCGGCGGACGGGUGAGUAAUGUCUGGGAAACUGCCUGAUGGAGGGGGAUAACUACUGGAAACGGUAGCUAAUACCGCAUAACGUCGCAAGACCAAAAGGGGGGCCUUCGGGCCUCUUGCCAUCGGAUGUGCCCAGAUGGGAUUAGCUAGUAGGUGGGGUAACGGCUCACCUAGGCGACGAUCCCUAGCUGGUCUGAGAGGAUGACCAGCCACACUGGAACUGAGACACGGUCCAGACUCCUACGGGAGGCAGCAGUGGGGAAUAUUGCACAAUGGGCGCAAGCCUGAUGCAGCCAUGCCGCGUGUAUGAAGAAGGCCUUCGGGUUGUAAAGUACUUUCAGCGGGGAGGAAGGGAGUAAAGUUAAUACCUUUGCUCAUUGACGUUACCCGCAGAAGAAGCACCGGCUAACUCCGUG